ensembl:lncRNA
UGCAUACGGAAAUUCAGACAAAAUGGACGUCUACUCAUGGACGUCUGAAUAAGAGGGAGAAGCCCAGCACAGUGACCUGACUGCAAUCGUGUGUUUGAGGCACUUUUCAUCCAACUCUACGAGCAGUACUGUGGAUCAAGAUUGCGGCAACGGCAAGGUUUGGGGUGCUUGGGGGUGCUGCAGGAGGAAGCACUGAAAGGAUCGCAGAAAGGAUUUUGCAGGCACCAACAAAGCUCCCCUGCGGUGGAGAUGCUGCAUUGGUGUUGGAGGACACAGAGAACAGAGUGACGCUGAACCAGCUCCUCAUGUUUGUCACAGGGGCGGACAGAGUUCCUCCCCUACGAUUCCCAGGAGAGCCAACAUUAAACUUUUUGCACACUGGCACUGUCUUCCCGGAAGCAAACACGUGUGCACUAAUUCUGAAGUUGCCUCUUCACACCACCUAUGAAUCAUUAAGUGAUUCCAUGAUUUCAGGAAUCAUCCAGUCCCCC